GGUUGGUCUAAAAGUAGUGAAUUAUUUCAAUCAAUUGUUCACAGUUACAGACCAACUCUUUGUUCUUCUCUUUCCCCCCUUCUUACUACUGCACUUGACUAGUCAAAA
ensembl:misc_RNA Y_RNA Y RNA